CCCCCCCCCCCCCCCAGCGGCGUGCAGGGCCGGCAGCGAUUCACGCCCCCCCCCCGUACUGUGCCAAGCCGGGGGUCCCCCCACCGCCAGCCCACCUACACCCGCCGCGCUGCCCGCACCCUCCGCUGCGGGGCGAUGCCCACCGGGGGGGGGGGGGGCGGGGGGGGGGGGGGGGGCGGAGCCCCCCGGGGGGGGGGGGGGGCGGGGAGGUGGGGCGCGGCACCGGACACGCAGGGCUUCCCCCCCCCCCUCGGAGGCCCCGUCCGGGUGGCCGCGGGGCUGGGGGUCGGGGGGGGGGGGCCGGCCCCCGUCGCCGGGGCCCGCUCCGCGCCCCCGCCCCGCCCCGCCCCUCCCGCCGGGCGCACCGUGCCUGCUCGCAGCGAUUUCGAAAAGCCACGGCGCCCCCUAUUGGCUCCCGGCCCCCCGGCGCCAUGGCAACGGGCCCGUUGGGCGCCAAUUGGCUACCGCGGCGUCGGGGCGCUCGUUAGGGCGGUGCUCGAGGGCGGCCGCCCGCCCCCUGGCGGGACAGCCUGGGGGGGGGGGGGAAGCUUCGGGCCGCCGGUUCAGGUCGCAUCUUCAAUGGCCUUUAAUUUUUUUUUUUUUAAUCGGUUUUGGGUUGGUUUCGGUUAUUUUUUGGGGGGAGGGGAGGGUGGGUUUUUUGUUUCCGUGUUGUUUUUUUUUUUUUUCUUUUCAUUUAUCGUCGUUUCCAAUAAAUUGUUAAAAAAUGUCGAGCUGUCGUGUGCUCCCUGCAGGCACCGGGGGAGCGGGUGGGGAGGGCCGGGCCGUGCUGCGUUGGUCCCCGCGGAGGGAAGGGCGGGGGGGGGGGGCGGGGGGGGAGCCCUGCUGCCCAGAGGCUGUCCAGAUGUUGAUGCGCCAGAGCUGGCCCAGGGGGGCUGCGGCACGGCUCCCGCCUGCGCGCCCUGCCUCCCCCCGGGGAAGGGGGGGACCUGCACCGCGCCUAGUGGGAAGGGCAGGGGGAGAGGAGCGAGGAUUCCCCUGCCACUGAGGCUGGGGAGGAGAGCAGUCCCUGUGCGGCUGCAGUCGGCUGAGCUCCCUGCACAAUGCAGGGGGGGGAACACAACACACACACGGAAUGCCGGCUGCGGUGAAGGGGUACCCGUGGGGGGUACCCUGCAGAAUAGACCCCCCCCCCCACACCCCAGUCAGCAUCUGGCUUCCCAC
rnacentral:lncRNA from 1 species